rnacentral:lncRNA from 1 species
UAAAUACAUUUUUAAGGAUAAUUAGUGAUGUGAGAAAAUGCCCUUGAUAUAUUUUACAGGGAUUUAAAAACAGAGCACCCUAGCCCCGCCCCACCUACCCUGCACCCAGCUCUUAGCCUCUCAGGGCUUACACAGACGUGCUGCUCCUCUCCUCAUCCAACGUGAUUCAUAUUUCAAAUCCUAGAUUGAAUGCCACUUCUGCCUGGAGGCAUGCUUUGACUCUACAGUCUAACUAGGUUCUCCCCCAAUUAUUCUGUCUAAAAACACCAUAUUGUUUUUCUUUACAGCGUUGAUCAUGCUUUUUCAUUAUUGAUCUAUGUGAUUA